UAAACUAGGAUUAGAUACCCUAUUACUCUAAACUACAAAUAAGAUAAUAAAUUUUAAAUUAACAAAAUUGGCGGUUCUUUUACUGUUUAGAGGAGUUUGUUUCAUUAAGGAUAUUACCCCAUUAAGUUUACUUUAGUUAAAGUUUUUAUAUCGCUGUUGUUAAAAAUAUUAUUGAAUUUAAUAUUUUAAAUUUAAGGUUUAAAAAACUUCAAGUCAAGAUGAAGCUAUAUUAAAGUGAAAAUGAACUACAAUAAAAAUUUUUAUAACGGACAGAGAAAUUUAAUUUCUCAGGAAGGCGGAUUUAAAAGUAAAUUUGAUAAAACUUUGAAUUAAGACCAAAAGAAUGUACAUAUCGCCG
rnacentral:rRNA from 1 species